rnacentral:rRNA from 1 species
CAGUCGCCACGGGAAUACGAAGGGUGCAAGCGUUACUCGGAAUUACUGGGCGUAAAGCGUGUGUAGGUGGUUGUUUAAGUCUGUCGUGAAAGCCCUGGGCUCAACCUGGGAAUUGCGAUGGAUACUGGGCGACUAGAGUGCGGUAGAGGAUAGUGGAAUUUCCGGUGUAGCAGCGAAAUGCGUAGAGAUCGGAAGGAACAUCUGUGGCGAAGGCGACUAUCUGGGCCAACACUGACACUGAGACACGAAAGCGUGGGAGCAAACAGGAUUAGAUACCCCGGUAGUCCCUGUCUCUUAUACA